ACAACAUAAAAGUCCAACAUCAUGUCACUUUCCUUGUAUUUGCAUUUGAAAGUGCAUGUGCCUUUUACUGGGAGCUGUUCACCACCAUAACCAGUCAGUAUGCGCGUGGUGGGCUGUAGCUCACACUCAAUGUCAAGCUGCGGUACUUAUUCAGAGGAAUAAUGUUUACUUGUGCACCAGUGUCUAGUUUGAACUUUAGCUCUGUGCCUUGUGUUCCUAUCUCAAUGUCAGCAAAGGCUUGCUCUGUCUCUGAUAUUUGACUUUUCUGUGUCACUGUCACUGAAACAGUUCAUCAGCGUUUGACUCUUUGAUUGACAUUUCAUCUUCACUCACUGUGUGUACUGUUUUUCCACGAUGGUCACCAGCCUGCCAGAGCACUGGAAGCCAGGUCCAGACUUCUACGGCGUGUCCUGUGAACCCGUGCUGGUCACUGCAGGUGCCGGGGUCUUCGGCUUCCUCUUCUGGAGGAGCAUUCUAUCUGCUGGUGUCCUUGUCAUGUGUAAACCAUGUCUGAUUUCAUACUCUUGUCAUGGGUUUUAUUCGCUACUGAAAAAGAGAUGGUGGACAGGAUGAAAAAGCUUGAACAAGAGAAGGAGAUAAUCCAAAAGGUCGCUAAACUGCAGCAACAGGGCGAAGAACUUAAAGAAAAGCAAAAGCUGUCUGAAAAUUCUGCCACUUUAUCUCUGGAGAAGAUCCAGGAAUUGGAGAAUAUUGUGCAAGAGAUGGAGAGACAAAAUGAGCACCUGGACUUAAAAUCGUUACUUUCACAUUCCAUACUAUUAUAUUUUACAUUUAAAGUUUUCCAUAUCUUUUUUACGUCUAAAGUCGGAAAAAUUCCUUUCCAAACUUUCUCCGCAGCUGGCCUUUUCACAUUUUUCUCUACCAUUAUUUUAUAGAAUCUUUUCACUGGGAUACUAGAUAAAUGAGCCUUCUCCUUACUGUUACCAAUAAACAAAUUAGGAAAGACAAAUAAAUCUUCCCUAACAACUUCACUAUUUAUUAAAUCCACCCAUUUGCUUGGUAUACUUUUAUCUUCUCAUACAUAUUUCUCACUGUUCCCCUACCCACCUCUACAUCCCAUUCAUGGAUGGUAUCAAAAAUAGCUUCCUCAGGGAAAAAAACCUGGAAUUACCUCAUAUGUGUAAUCUUUUAUUUGUCUAAGACCUGCACUCAUGAAUACUUCACUAUAUAACACUUUUUCUUUGUACUUUAGUUUCUCAUUCAGAAAAACAGGAUGAUUCAUAAUUAGGUCAAUAUGCCCACACUCAUAAUACACAUUAGGCAACAACUCUGCCCAUGCAUUUAACACUUCUUUAUAAAAAUCUGGUCCCUUUUCACACGGCAUAAUCGUAUAUAUACAAAAGUGGUUUUACAUCAAAUCAAUAGGGAAAUAAAAAGAGAAUGUGACUUAUGUGGUGAGUCACCGGAAAAUUUAAUGCAUUUGUUUGUGGAAUGUGAGGAGUUAAAAGAUUUAUUUUGUAAAGUAAAGGGAAUGAUUCAUAGAAACUGGGGGGGUGAUAUUUUGAAAAAAUAUGUGUGGGAUGAAUUGGUGUUAUUUGGCGUGUCUGGUAAAUGUGAGGGUGUUAAUGUGGGUUUGUUGAAUGUUGUUUUGAGUUUCUUGAGGUAUGCUAUUUUUUGUAGGAGGAAUUAUGCUUUUUUUGAGAGGAAGAAGGUAAGGGUGUGGGAUAUUUUUGUAGUAUUGUUAAAGAAGCAUAUAGAUAUGUUUUAUUGUUAUGGAAAGGAAUGUUUUGAUGAAGCUUGUGGAGGGGAGUGGGUUGAUUUCAAACGUGGAUGGUGGAAGAAUCACUUAUAAUUUUUGAAAGUAUUGGUAUGUUUAUUUAUUUCUUGGUUUUCAUAGUUGUUCGGGAGUUGAUUUCAACAUGCCUGUUUUGUGAGAUUGGAAUUUAUGUUAGGCUUUUAUUAGUUUUUGUUGUAUUUUAUUUAUUUGAGUUCUUUGAUUUGAUAGGGGGUGAAUUGUUCACCUGCCUAUGUUAGUCUCGGUUUUUGUGUAUUGUACUUUUGAUAAAAUAUUGUA